GCCCUGGAACGGGCCGUCAUAGAGGGUGAGAAUCCCGUCUGGGAUGGGGUGUCCACGCCCGUGUGAAGCUCCUUCGACGAGUCGAGUUGUUUGGGAAUGCAGCUCUAAAUGGGUGGUAAAUUUCAUCUAAAGCUAAAUACUGGCCGGAGACCGAUAGCGCACAAGUAGAGUGAUCGAAAGAUGAAAAGCACUUUGAAAAGAGAGUUAAACAGCACGUGAAAUUGUUGAAAGGGAAGCGCUUGCNACCAGACUCGCCCACGGGGUUCAGCCGGCAUUCGUGCNGUNGUACUUCCCCGCGGGCGGNCCAGCGUC
rnacentral:rRNA from 1 species